rnacentral:rRNA from 1 species
AGCGAACGCUGGCGGCAGGCCUAACACAUGCAAGUCGAACGAAGUCUUCGGACUUAGUGGCGGACGGGUGAGUAACACGUGGGAACGUACCUUUUGGUUCGGAACAACUCAGGGAAACUUGAGCUAAUACCGGAUGAGCCCUUAGGGGGAAAGAUUUAUCGCCGAAAGAGCGGCCCGCGUUAGAUUAGCUAGUUGGUAAGGUAAAGGCUAACCAAGGCUACGAUCUAUAGCUGGUCUGAGAGGAUGAUCAGCCACACUGGGACUGAGACACGGCCCAGACUCCUACGGGAGGCAGCAGUGGGGAAUCUUGCGCAAUGGGCGAAAGCCUGACGCAGCCAUGCCGCGUGAAUGAUGAAGGUCUUAGGAUUGUAAAAUUCUUUUACCAGGGACGAUAAUGACGGUACCUGGAGAAAAAGCCCCGGCUAACUUCGUGCCAGCCGCCGCAGUAACAC